rnacentral:lncRNA from 1 species
CAAGCAAGGCAGCACAACUCCUUCAGUAACAAAGCAUCACCUGCUUCUUCCUUCGCCUGUGAUCCAUUCAACCGAGAGCAUGUCUUGCUGCAGCGGCAACUGCGGGUGCGGCUCCGGCUGCCAGUGCGGCAGCGGUUGCGGCGGGUAAAGAAACAGAUUAAUUUCUAAUCCUCCACAUCACAAUCAUAUCGUAUACAUACAAACAUACAUAUUCAUGACGACUACACGAUGAUCAUAUAUACAUAUAUAUAUGUCUGAACUCUGAAUGCGUUUGUAUGAUCCAUCCUAACGCAUGCAGCUGCAAGAUGUCCCCUGACAUGGAGACCACCGCCACCGUCGGCAUGAAGCCCAUGGUGCUCGCUGCACCGACCACCAAGGCCAGCGCCGGCGGGUUCGAGGCGGCCGUCGAGGGUGGCGGCUGCGACUGCAACACCUGCAAGUGCGGCAGCAGCUGCGGCUGCAGCUGCUGCAGCUGCAACUGAGCCAUCCCGGCGAUGGCGCACGAGGAGGAAGGAGGAGACAGAGACAACAACCACCCCCCAGCGUACUAAACUAUGUAGCGGCGUCUAAAUAAGAUCCUGUCAACUGCGUGCGUGCACCGCCAUUAUUCAUGCAUGGUCGCCGGCCUCGUCUCCGUCUCCGAUCCUGGGGUUGUUCAUCUCCAACGUCUCGCGGUUUGACGAUUGCCGUCGUCGUCGAUCCUAUGUCCGCCUCGUGCCUGAUCUAAUAUAUGUGUUUUUUUUCUGCAUUACCUGUGCUUUCUCUGUCUGUCUGUCUGUCUGUCUGUCUGUCUGUCUGUCUGACGGGCCCAUGCGUCAGCGUCACUGCUUGCUUCUUUCUGUGUCUGAUUCUGACGAGAUGCUGCAAAAAAAUCUAAGAACCUCUUUGCAGUGCUACAAAAUUCUGAGAUGGAAAAAAUAUGUGUGAAAGCGAAAACAGGGCUGCAUCACUCAAAGUUGGUGCUAAACAGCGGCACACUCCUGCAAGAGCUCUAACCACAAGUCCAUGGCUCAUGGCAGUAUUGUUAAUCAUAGCUCUGGCAU